AAUCCGAGAAUUUCACCUCUAACGCAGCAAUACGAAUGCCCCCGUCUGUCCCUAUUAAUCAUUAUUUCGAGUCCCGAAACCAACAAAAUAGGACCAAAAUCCUAUUCAAUUAUCCCAUGCAGCAAUGUUCAGGCAAAACCUGCUUUGAGCACUUCAAUUUUUUCAAGGUAAAAGUUCCAGCAACUAAAGUCACUCAUUUAAGAGCAACAAUCGAAUACUAGAGAAAAGGAGUCGGGCAUACAGUACGUCCAAGCUGAACGACCGUAGCCCUAAUCCUAGAUCCAACUACGAGCUUUUUAACCGCAACAACUUUAAUAUACGCUAUUGGAGCUGGAAUUACCGC
rnacentral:misc_RNA from 1 species